rnacentral:rRNA from 1 species
UACGGGGGGAGCAAGCGUUGUUCGGAUUUACUGGGCGUAAAGGGCGCGUAGGCGGUGCCGCAAGUCGGUUGUGAAAUCUCCGGGCUUAACCCGGAAAGGUCAACCGAAACUGCGGGGCUAGAGUGCAGAAGGGGCAACUGGAAUUCUCGGUGUAGCGGUGAAAUGCGUAGAUAUCGAGAGGAACACCUGCGGCGAAGGCGGGUUGCUGGGCUGACACUGACGCUGAAGCGCGAAAGCUAGGGGAGCGAACGGG